rnacentral:rRNA from 1 species
CCCUUAGAUGUUCUGGGCCGCACGCGUGCUACACUGAGUGGAUCAGCGGGUCAGGUUGCGCGAAAGCGUUUCCUAAUCUUUAAAUCCGCUCGUGAUGGGGAUUGACGGUUGCAAUUUUCUGUCAUGAACGAGGAAUACCUUGUAAGCGCGGGUCAUCAUCCCGCGCUGAAUACGUCCCUGCCCUUUGUACACACCGCCCGUCGCUCCUACCGAUUGAGUGGUCCGGUGAGGCUUUGGGAUCUGGGCGGAAAGAGCGUUUCGCUGUUUCUGCCCGGAAAACUCAGUCGAACCUUAUCAUUUAGAGGAAGGAGAAGUCGUAACA